rnacentral:rRNA from 1 species
AGUGAACGCUGGCGGUAGGCCUAACACAUGCAAGUCGAACGGCAGCACAGUAAGAGCUUGCUCUUACGGGUGGCGAGUGGCGGACGGGUGAGGAAUACAUCGGAAUCUACUUUUUCGUGGGGGAUAACGUAGGGAAACUUACGCUAAUACCGCAUACGACCUACGGGUGAAAGCAGGGGAUCUUCGGACCUUGCGCGAUUGAAUGAGCCGAUGUCGGAUUAGCUAGUUGGCGGGGUAAAGGCCCACCAAGGCGACGAUCCGUAGCUGGUCUGAGAGGAUGAUCAGCCACACUGGAACUGAGACACGGUCCAGACUCCUAAGGGAGGCAGCAGUGGGGAAUAUUGGACAAAGGGCGCAAGCCUGAUCCAGCCAUACCGCGUGGGUUAAGAAGGCCUUCGGGUUGUAAAGCCCUUUUGUUGGGAAAGAAAAGCAGCAGGUUAAUACCCCGCUGUUCUGACGGUACCCAAAGAAUAAGCACCGGCUAACUUCGUG